UUUAAAGUAGCUUAAUAGCCAAAGCCUGGCAUUGAAAAUGCCUAUAUAAAGGUUGAACUCCUUUCUUUAAUA
rnacentral:tRNA from 1 species